UACGUAGGGGGCAAGCGUUGUCCGGAAUCAUUGGGCGUAAAGCGCGUGUAGGCGGCUUGGUAAGUCCGCUCUGAAAGCCCGGGGCUCAACCCCGCGAGGCGGGUGGAUACUGUCAAGCUCGAGUCCGGAAGAGGCGAGUGGAAUUCCUGGUGUAGCGGUGAAAUGCGCAGAUAUCAGGAGGAACACCAAUGGCGAAGGCAGCUCGCUGGGACGUGACUGACGCUGAGACGCGAAAGCGUGGGGAGCAAACAGG
rnacentral:rRNA from 1 species